GAAUUUUCCGCAAUGGGCGAAAGCCUGACGGAGCAAUACCGCGUGAGGGAUGACGGCCUAUGGGUUGUAAACCUCUUUUUUCAGGGAGGAAUCAAUGACGUGUACCUGAAGAAUAAGCAUCGGCUAACUCCGUGCCAGCAGCCGCGGUAAGACGGAGGAUGCAAGUGUUAUCCGGAAUCACUGGGCGUAAAGCGUCUGUAGGUGGUCAAAUAAGUCAACUGUUAAAUCUUGAGGCUCAACCUCAAAAUCGCAGUCGAAACUAUUCGACUAGAGUAUAGUAGGGGUAAAGGGAAUUUCCAGUGGAGCGGUGAAAUGCGUAGAGAUUGGAAGGAACACCGAUGGCGAAGGCACUUUACUGGGCUAUUACUAACACUCAGAGACGAAAGCUAGGGUAGCAAAUGGGAUUAGAUACCCCAGUAGUC
rnacentral:rRNA from 1 species